rnacentral:rRNA from 16 species
GGAUGCGAUCAUACCAGCACUAAAGCACCGGAUCCCAUCAGAACUCCAAAGUUAAUCGUGCUUGGGCAAGAGUGGUACUAGGAUGGGUGACCUCCUGGGAAGUCCUCGUGUUGCAUUCC